CCACUAUUGCACAGCUCUUCGAUGCAUUAUCCCCCUCUACACUUUCUACAGAAUAGAAAACUUAAUUUUUUAAUCUUUCUUGUCAUCACAAUGCAGACCUCUGACCUACAGACACAGCCAAAGCCAUUUGUUUCUCUGCUGCUUCUGUUGCAGUGUGCCAAAGACCUCUUCUCUAUAUCGCUUUUUAGGCACUGCAGCAAAGAUGCUGAUGUCUAGGCAUAACUGAAUUUUGCUGCCCAGAAGGAUCCUGAAAGAUCCGGAUCUAAAGACAGCCUGGAACUGGUUGCUCCUGAGUGAUGAGCAAUGGAGAGGCCAGUUACUCCUGCUGCCAUGCUGGAGUUGGAAAGGGUGGUGACAGCACGUAGUGUUUUUAUGAGUGACCGUCCAUUUCCUGGACUACACCAUAGCCAAGGAGGCAGCGGAGCCACAGGUUUGCCAGAGCAAGCCCUGCAUUCCUAACAGACCUUGGGAAGGAACUAUUCACUUAAAUUCUUUGGAAAUUCCACCUGAAUUCUAGCAAAACUGGAUCCAUGUUCCUGCUCUUUGUAUGCACUUGCCAAUUAUCUCAUAUAUUAGCAAAGGAAGCCUUGUUCUGUUGGCAUUUUGGGUGGUGGUGAUUUAUUCUAAAGCAAGUACCAUGUUCAGUUCUGUGCUAUUUCCUGAAUUGUGCUAUUUCCUGAACUCAAGCGUGUUUCAUACUCUGUGGUACCAUCCCCUUUUAUUACUGCUUAUAUGAGUGUUACUGGAUUAAUGUACAUUUGAGGAUCUCUGUCACGUUAGCUGUGGCACCUCAGCAUAGAAAACCACCCGGAAAACUAAAAACAAGUUUCUGCUUCCCCUUCCACCACUAAAGAAGUGUUAGUUAGUUGGUUGGUUAGUUAGUUAGUGAAGAAGUGUUAGACUAAAGAGUGCUUGGGAUUUCUUCACAGAUACUCAAAAAUGUUCAUUGUAGACCAAAUUCAAAUGAAAGGCAGUGAUUUGAAGUGAAAACUGAACACUGGCUGUUGUUCAGAGGCCAUUAAACAUAGGAUUUAUUAUCAGAAGUUCCAGUGCUAUUGAGCAAUGCUUUGUUCACAGUAGUUUUGAAUCAUGAUACACUGGAUAUCUGACUACUGACUGACCAGCUAAGGGACAGCUAAGGGACAUCUAAAGCCUCCUGUAAAUUAGGCUGAAGUCCCAGCAAAAUCAGGCUGAAGUCUCAGUUCAAUGCUGCAAAUUAGGCUGAAGUCCUUGUUCAAUGUUGCAAGAUGACAUGCCUGACAACUGGCCAACCUAGGGAGGGGCAGCCACUUUGAGAAAGACAUUUUUAUACUGCCCACUCCUUUUUCUUUGGUUUUAUUCACUUUACAUUAGCUUCUUUUUCUUCUGUAAAUAUGUGCAUCUGAAUAUCACUAAAAUCAGCGUGGGUCAAACCUGGUGAGCUGAACCUGAACAGUUAACGUCAGGUAUUUGAUACCCUCUUGGGUGCUUCCAGCAAGAAAUUAAUUUUUCUGCCUGCAGUCUCCUGUUGAACUGCUGUCCUCCAUUCUACUGACUCUUCAGCUGCAUCUUGACAGUGUAUCUUUCCUCAGUUCUAGCUCUCAACUUGCAUCAGUGCAGAGUUGUAAAUAUGUGUGUUAUCUAGUCAAGAAGAGUGAAAACCUGUAUACCACAUGCCAAGGCUUGAGGAAGAAUAAAAUGCAUACUGUCUGGAGACUUGUUUUCCAACCUCUAAAUGCCUUUUUUUUUUUCCCUAUCUUGAGAAAAAAGCACAACUCGUAGAAACUUAGUGAAGUAAAUUAACACCAAUUCCAUUGCGUUUCACUGCACUUAGAUCCAGAUGCAUCAACAUUGCUUUUGGAUGUCAUAGUUGUCAUAAGUAUUAUAAAGAAUGCUAUCACAAAGAUUUCUGUGGGUCUAGGGCACACAAUACGCAGUAAAUCACUACUUCUCUUAGCAGUCACUAUAGUAAUAGUAACCAUACUGAAUUCCUGUACGAUUCCUAAGGACAGAAUAUUCUAAUCGUCAGUUCAGAUGAAAGAACUCAUAUAGAUAGACAUUCAAAAUGAAAGUCAUUACUACCAAAAAUGCGAUUUAUCGUAAAUUGCUAUGUAUAUAUGACUGCUUACAAAACUUUAAAUGCAUCUCUCUGGGGUCAAGGUAAAAGAAAAUAACCAUAUGCAAUUGUUGGAAAAAUAAGCUGUUAAAAGCAUUUCUUACUGCUUUUUUCUUGAAGAUGAACCUUCUAAAUUACCAUGGAUCCAACAAAGCUAUACAAAAACAUAUAGCUCCUUAAUAUGAUAUUCAGUGUCUUUCCUGUUGUGCUUUUUGAGUCU